rnacentral:tRNA from 1 species
GCGCCUGUAGCUCAGUCGGAUAGAGCAACGGCCUUCUAAGCCGUGGGUCGCGGGUUCGAAUCCUGCCGGGCGCG